rnacentral:snoRNA from 1 species
AAACCAUGAUGAGGACACUCUAAGAGAAGGUCUUUGAAUCGCUCCAUGCAUCGAGAAAAUGAAUCAUUGGGUCUUUGGCGAAACUAGAAGAUGUCGUUCCUAAGUUU